rnacentral:rRNA from 1 species
UACGGGGGGAGCAAGCGUUGUUCGGAUUUACUGGGCGUAAAGGGUGCGUAGGUGGGCAAGUAAGUCAGUGGUGAAAUCUCCGGGCUUAACCCGGAAACUGCCAUUGAUACUAUUUGUCUUGAAUACUGUGGAGGUCAGCGGAAUAUGUCAUGUAGCGGUGAAAUGCUUAGAUAUGACAUAGAACACCAAUUGCGAAGGCAGCUGGCUACACAAAUAUUGACACUGAGGCACGAAAGCGUGGGGAUCAAACAGG